UUGUGAGAUGUGAGACGGAGUUUAAAAUUACCACUGAUCCGGAUUAAAACGUGGGAUUACACGGUCGACAGUUAAUGGUGGGAGAAACUGAUGACUUGAGACUUUUGAUGGACAGCGGAUUUGUGUUUCUUGACUGCGAGGAGCCGACUUGUGUUACAUACGGAUUCGCUAUUAAAUGGAUAUAACAGAUCGUUACUCCUCAAGAUUCGUAAUUUUUGGGGUAAAAUACAAAAGCAAAUUAAAGGGAAAACAACCUGUAGAAGAAUAUGGAGAGAAAUUGAUCAUCGAAUUUUUUGCUAGAAAAUCAUGAACCUGUUCACUCCCAAGAAAAAAUUGAGUACAGGAACUGAAGAAUGCAACAUUCAGGCUGUAUGUUUAAACCAUCCCCUGCUCAGUGAAUUAUGUGUUGACUUUACACUGGAAAAUCAGACUGGGUUAGUUUGAUUUUCCAGUCCCAAACUGGGAUAGUCUUCUGACAUAGAUAAUAUCAUCAGAACUUAAGUGGAAGGAAACUGUGGAAUAACAACUGAGAAAAUUGUGGAGAAGCGACUGACAACAUUGAUAAUUCAACAAUGUUUUCCAUUUAAAAAAGUUUAAAUACUUUUUCAAAAUCAAUGCACGAGUGCUGCAUCUCUCUCUUUCUCUGCAUCAUUGAUUUCUCCUUACAUGAUACAACGAAGAGCUUUUUCUGAAUUAUUGAUAGCCAGUGAUGAGUAGUGGAUUUUAUAUAACAAUGUUCAGUGUAAAUAAAUAUAAAGUAAUUGAAGGUACAAAACCUGUUGAAAAGGUUGGAUUAUAUCUUUUCAAAAUUGUUAUAGAGAGUUUGGAGAAACAUCAUAAGAAUUAUUAAUUUCAAACUACUUCCAUGUAGUGAAACGAGCCCAUUAGAGAAGACUACACUCACAAACUCAACACAACCAUUUGAGAAAAACAAGCAGUUUUUUUCAAGCAGAAAAGCUGUAAUCUUCCUCUGCAACAAUACUAAAGCGAAUGGUAACAUAUGCAGAGGAAACUGCAAGAAUGAAAUGAAUGCAAAUACGAAAUUCCUCAAAACCACCAUAUCCUCUCAAUCUUGUGCCAUCUUACUAUCACUUGUUUCAAUUUUUGCAGAAUAAUUCAAGCAGCAAAAAUUUUAAAAUUUGUUAAAGAUGUAUAAAAGC